UACGGGGGGGGCAAGCGUUGUUCGGAAUUACUGGGCGUAAGGGCCAGUAGGCGGCCAACUAAGUCCGACGUGAAAUCCCAAGGCUUAACCUUGGGAACUGCGUCGGAUACUGGAUGGCUUGAAUUCGGGAGAGGGAUGCAGAAUUCCUGGUGUAGCGGUGAAUGCGCAGAUAUCAGGAAGAACACCCGUGGCGAAAGCGGCUCUCUGGGACGGUACUGACGCUGAGACGCGAAAGCGUGGGGAGCGAACAGG
rnacentral:rRNA from 1 species